rnacentral:rRNA from 1 species
UACGUAGGGGGCUAGCGUUGUCCGGAAUCAUUGGGCGUAAAGCGCGUGUAGGCGGUCCGGUAAGUCCGCUGUGAAAGUCAAAGGCUCAACCUUUGAAUGCCGAUGGAUACUGUCGGGCUAGAGUCCGGAAGAGGCGAGUGGAAUUCCUGGUGUAGCGGUGGAAUGCGCAGAUAUCAGGAGGAACACCAAUAGCGAAGGCAGCUCGCUGGGACGGUACUGACGCUAAGGCGCGAAAGCGUGGGGAGCGAACAGG